UACAGAGGGUGCGAGCGUUAAUCGGAAUUACUGGGCGUAAAGCGUGCGUAGGCGGCUAUCUAAGUCGGGUGUGAAAGCCCCGGGCUCAACCUGGGAACUGCAUUCGAGACUGAAUAGCUAGAGUACGGUAGAGGGAAGUGGAAUUUCCGGUGUAGCGGUGAAAUGCGUAGAUAUCGGGAGGAACAUCAGUGGCGAAGGCGACUUCCUGGACCAGUACCGACGUUCAGGCACGAAAGCGUGGGGAGCAAACAGG
rnacentral:rRNA from 1 species